rnacentral:pre_miRNA from 1 species
UGGCAGUGUAUUGUUAGCUGGUUGAAUAUAUGAAUGGCAUCAGCUAACAUGCAACUGCUAUC